rnacentral:misc_RNA from 1 species
UUGGGGAAAUUACCGGGUUGAGAUAUGGAAUCGUUAACUCGCCCUGAGCUGACUCGCCGCGAAAACGGUGGUACCCGAUGGAAUUGGAAUCUGUCGAGACAAACGGGUUGUAAUGAUGGAAAUCCGGAUUCAAUUUCUGGGUAAUUGGGAUGAAUUCGUCCAAUUCGGAAUUAAAAAUCUCGAUGUGUCGGAAUUUACUGUCGGCUCUUCGGGUAGCGACGACAAGUCGUUUGCUGUCGUUCAUGGCAGCCGGAGUAAAGCAAUGCAGACCCGCCG